UACGGAGGGUGCAAGCGUUAUCCGGAUUCACUGGGUUUAAAGGGUGCGUAGGCGGGUUGGUAAGUCCGUGGUGAAAUCUCCGAGCUUAACUCGGAACGGUCAGCUGAUACUGAUCUGCUAGAGUGCGGAAGGGGCAAUCGGAAUUCUUGGUGUAGCGGUGAAAUGCGUAGAUAUCAAGAGGAACACCUGAGGUGAAGACGGGUUGCUGGGCCGACACUGACGCUGAGUGCGCGAAAGCCAGGGGAGCAAACGGG
rnacentral:rRNA from 1 species